UACGGAGGGUGCAAGCGUUAUCCGGAUUCACUGGGUUUAAAGGGUGCGUAGGCGGGUCUGUAAGUCAGUGGUGAAAUCUUCAAGCUUAACUUGGAAACUGCCAUUGAUACUAUAGGUCUUGAAUUAUCUGGAGGUGAGCGGAAUAUGUCAUGUAGCGGUGAAAUGCUUAGAUAUGACAUAGAACACCAAUGGCGAAGGCAGCUCACUACGGAUGUAUUGACACUGAGGCACGAAAGCGUGGGGAUCAAACAGG
rnacentral:rRNA from 1 species